rnacentral:lncRNA from 1 species
GAGCUAUGCUCCUCAACUCACUCCUAAAGCAGGUGGCUGCAGCCUAAGCCCUCCACCAUCCAUGCCACCAGCCUGGCCCUGGCCUCGGGGAGCAAACCAGAUGGACAAGCAUGUGCCCAGACGAGAGAGAGCUGCUGCCUUUCCCAGCACUGCCCAAGUGAGCCCGCAGGUGUGGGUGCUGAGCUGGAGGCCAGCCUGGACAAGAGGUCAUGGCUGGCCUCAGGUGGAGCCCCGAGAGUCCCUUCAUCACCCAGUGAUUCUGCUUCUCGUGGAUGGAGAGACUGACACAGGACAGGGAGAUGAGCAGACAGGGUGUGAACCACGGAAGGGCAGAAUGGGAACUGAGAACAUCCUCUUUCCUGCCCUUGGGGAAAAUCUGGGCCUCUAGCCUUCAUCUGGAGCCUCCAUUCUGUCCCAGCUUCCCAAGUUCCAGAUCCCAAGGUGGCUCCAGCCUCCUGGAUGAUGCCAAGAGUCACGAGCCCUCCCACCUGCCAGGCCUGAGGAAGAGAGCUCAGUCUGUCUCAAGCAAGACAAACACAGGGACCCCUGCUCCUAGGGCUGGCCACUGUGCCCCAGUCCAGCAGAGACGCCCAAGCCAGAAUGAGCUCCAGAGUAGGACACAAGGCCCAGAGCUUCGGGCUCUGAGGCCCCAGAAGGCCUGGGCUCAGGGCUCCUCUGUCACAGCUGCUCCUCCAGCUGUGUACAGGGCAGGCGUGGGGUGGCCACCGGUAGAAGAUCAGAUGGCAGAAGGAUUCAUGACUUAUCUGUGAGUUCCCAUGUGUGGGGAUGGGAUGAAAUAUGAACCAUUCCACUAAUUGUACGUUGAAGGCCAUCCAGCUCUACCUCCAGCCUUCCUUCCUCCUCCCCAGCUCCAGUCCCCCACACCCCUGCCCCAGUCUGCACUCCUCCCCAGUGCCCCCUCCCCUGCACUCAGGGUCCCCUCC